GCCACACUCCUAUGCCCAUCCCCAAGUUCAAAGGUCAGAAGUCCUCUGAGAACAUCCAGGGUCACUACCCCUGAGGUCUCUGGUGUACUACGUGGCCCUGAUUAGGGCAAAGGGAAGUGAUCUGAGGGCCACUCUCUUCCUGUACAUACAGGGCCUUGCUGCUCUUGAGGGAUUGUCCUGGCAGGAUCAAAAGCAGCUCCUGCAUGGGGACGCCGUGUCCUCCUGCUGUUAUCAUAGUAUGCCCUGUGCUCCCAGGAGGAGGCUGAGUCUAGAUCAUAAAGGGCAUUGUGGCACCUACCUUGAUUUCUCUUGGAUCACUCAUUCUGAGGGAAGAUAGCUGCCAUGUUGGGAGGACGUGCAAGCAGCCCUGUGAAGAGGUCAACACAGGGGGGAACUGAAGCCCCUUCCAAACAGCUAGCACCAACUUGCCAGCCAUGUAAAGUGAUUCACCUUGGAAACAGAUCCUCCAGCCUCAGCCAAGCCUUCAGAUGCAACCUCAUGACAGACUCUGAACCAGAAACACACAGCCAAGCUGCUGACCCACAGACUUUGUGAGAGAUCAUAAACAUUUACUGUUGUUCUAAGACACUGUUUUAGGGUGCUUUGUUGUACAACAAUAGCUUACUGAAAAUACAGAGAGCCUAGCACAGUGCCUGCAUGUGGUCAUCACUCAAUGGUUGAGCGAGUGAAUCUUGCUUAGUAUUGAACACUCCCACUGACAGCUAACUGUACCAUCUCUCAAAACAAUUCAUUCUAUCUUUGGGCAAUUCUGUUAAAGAUUAUUAGAAUUAAAUUGGAUCUUUCUCAAUACA